rnacentral:lncRNA from 1 species
CCAGAGAGUUCCCGGAGGACGUUUAGGGUCUAGUCUCUUCAAAGAUGCACGACCGGGACUCUCAAGUAGCUCCUCCAAUGUCAGAUUGUUGAGACGCCCAGUUGGUGGUUGAGUCGCUGAAUGGGAUGGAUUAGGCGAGUUUGGAUUGGAUGGUGGAGGAGUCAAACCAUCGGCUUGUUGGUUUUGACUGGCUGGCGUCUGAGGCGAGGUUGGAUUACGGUUUCUCAAUGCAUUGCCUUGAGAAUUGGAAGCACGACGGGAAGGAGCAGCUACAUUUUGCGUGGAUAGAUACCUAUUAUAGUCGUUUCCAGAAUACCCAGACAUCUACAAGAAACAAAGAAAAUAUUAGGAACUCUAAAUAACAAUUGAAACCCUAAAUAGAAACCCUAAACAACGAAAGAAAACUGAAGAUUUAAAAAGAAUUAGGUUGAUUAGUAUAAACCCUAAAUCGAGAACAAAAAUCGAUUUGUGUAUAAACCUAAAUCGGAACCCUAAAUUGAAAAAUACUAAUAUCUAUUGAAAAAUAAUAGAUUUGUUUAGGAUUUGAACGGAGAAGAAGAGAGAUUAAACAGAGAAGAAUAAACCCUAAAACGAAUCGAACAACUUUACCUCUGUAGAUUCACGAAGAAGUAGGUUGGUCGGAGAAGAAGAGAGAAUCGGAGAAGACAAGAGGUUAAUCGGAGAAGAAGAGCGGUUAAUCGGAGAAGAAGAGAUCAUCGGAGAAGAAGAGAUCAUCGGAGAAGACGAGGGAAAAUUAGGGUUUUCGGUUGAAUCGGAGAAGACGAGGGAAAACUAUACCCUAUAUAUAUAAAUUUCGUCGCAAAUCCCUAUCAAAAUAUUAUCGCAAGU